CCUACAAUAAAUACUAAUCACAUCAUUGGCCUACAAGGGAAUGUAAAAAUGCCAAAAAACAUGUAAAACAACCUUCUUAAAAUCUUCACCCUUGUUUAAGCAAAGGCUAUAUAUUUCAGGUUUCCCUCUUCUUAGUAUUUCCUUCAAGUAAUUGACACCUACAUGUGCCACACUCAUUUCAUCAAAUGGGGUGGUUGCAAUCCCUCUUCUCUCCAUUGAAGAAGGUUUGGUUCAAGUUGCAUUCAACUCAAAACAAGAGAAGAGGGAUAUACAUUCUGUAUGAAGAUGUCAAAUCUUGCCCCUACGAAGAUGUGCAAGUCCUCUGGUCGAUACUAGUGGAAUCACAUUCACCUCCUUUGCCAUCAUGAAAAUGAAGAACAAAACAUAACUGAGAAGAGGCUUGUAAUAAUGUACAUAAAAUAUUUUGAUAUCAUCAUGAAUUAUCCCAUUGCUUUUUUACAAUCUUCUUUUACAGAUUCUCUACAUCAUUUUUACACUUUCAUUAAUACUUGAUUUAUCCUCUUUA